rnacentral:lncRNA from 1 species
UCAGUUGAUUGAAAUGUAAAGUUUAAUAUCCAUGCCUGGAAAAUGUUGAUCCCAUGACAUAUAAGUUCAACUGUAAUCCCGUCUAGGCAAGUUAAUCACUUUAAAAUGACAGUGUCCAAUGUCUUUGUUUGUAAAUCUGAUGAAACCCAGUGUGCAUACAGGAGGUGCAAGUCUCCAUUUCCAUAAUGUUUAAUAUGCAAAAGAA